GGUUCGAUGCCACGUUGACGGUAGCUUUAUAAAAACAUUGACCGGAGAUGUCAUAUUGAACCAAUAUCAAUUUCUUAUUUCGCAUCUUGAUAGGAAUCUGUGAAUCGAUUGUUUUUGGUUCGUUCAUGGAGCCGUUUUAUGCGAUUACAUUU